rnacentral:sRNA from 1 species
GCAAUAGAAUAGGCUUAAAGGGUCGGUCGGCUACCUCUCUAAGAAGGGAGGGAUGCCUUGUGACAGUGUUUGAAGCAAUGAUGAUUAUGCUAACCUUUGGUUCGCUUAUCGUAGCGCUGCUGUCCAAUAAACGCAAAUAGACCGCCCCCUCGCAAAGGCAUGCGGUCUAUCUGUCGUAUCCUGUUUGUUGAGGCCUACCGCCCUUAGAAGCGGCUAUUGCAUGGGGAGUCGUGUUGGUAGCACGGCUC